rnacentral:sRNA from 1 species
AGGGGUUCCCCACUUACGUGGAUC